UAGAAGUGCAUUGUCAUCUAUGAGACGGCACAUUUCUGAGCAAUCCUUGCACCACCGGCAUAUUCUGCCAGCGCUCGGCUGUCAGUGGAAAGUCUGCAUGGAGUUUUCUGUGCAGACAUUCCAUCGUGUGAACAUACCCUAAAUGGUCGUCUAUUUCUGGGAGUCUGGGAGUCAAAGUCUAUGUAAUGCGGUCCAACUUUUGUCUCAGAUGAGUAGGUUGAGAGACAAUAAUUUUUUUUUCUCAUUUUCCUAGCUGCUCUUUUUGGCACAGUAGUCCAGAUAACUUUUAAUAGAGGUGAUAGCUACCCAUCCUCUUCAGAAGUCAACAUGUUUAUUCGGCAGAAUUAUUCAUUUACAAAAAAAAAGGAUAUGGCUACACCAGUCUUAUGUGUAUAGAUGGUUUUAAAUCUAAAGACCCCUUCCCCAAUCUAUUAUCUGUAAAUGUAGUGGGGUGGUUGCCACUUGUCCUAGAAUGAUCCAAGAUUACUUUGAGCUGAGAAAUAGCAUAUGUCCAGAUAUGACAGCAAACCCUCUUCAGCUAUGUCAGGCAGCUGUUCUCUAGCUUCCAGGACGGGCUCACAUGUCAGGAGUCUCUCACAAAGAGCCAGCCAACAACAGGCAGCAAACCUCAUCAUCAGUCCAGAUUACUGUACCCAAGAAGUAAGUCACUGACCGUAGAGUACCCAGGGAUAAAUCAGUAUGGCUGAGGAACAGUCUUACUAUGAAGAAAAGAUCUCCAAGGACAUUCUCACUAAGGAGAUCAACCUGGUGGAUAGAGACCCAAAGAAGAUAAACGAGGAUGUGGUCAAGGUUUGGUCUAUCCAUCUCUUUUAUAGUUGUCUAACUAUCCAUUUUAUUUAUUUAUUUAUCUAUGAGAAAAAAGAAGGGGAGAGUGCAUGUGAGGGAGUGUGAAGGUAGAUUCAGACUACACAGGGGUUGUUUGUAGUCUGUAGCCAUGGAGACAUAUUGGACUGCAUAGAAUUUUAUUGGCAUAGUUGCUUUACUUAUCUUUGUAGGAGAAGGUAGGAUUUAAAUGUACUCUGUCCGCACUCUGAUAUUAUCUAAGCUACUGUAUUAUGUAGCUGCCCGUACAGCAGAGAGUAAUACCUUUGUGCUGUCUGUGUUGUCAAAACUUAGAAAACUGCACUUUUUACCUGCAGGGCAUAGCACAGGAGUUUUCCAAGGGCACUUCACCCAAUAUUACCAGACUCCUGAAUGACAAAGUUGAUUAGAUAUCCAGUCAUAUAUCUAAUGGUCUUUAUCACUCCAUUACUACAGUAUGUAUUACAUGCCAUUUAUGUAAAAGGAGAAGCAGGUUAGCAACAACUUACUGUAACCCAGCUUUUCCACCAACAGAUACUUCUAAGGCCUCUCUUUCUGAUUUCUAGUCCUUACAAAAGGGUACGUUCACACGUAAUCAGUGUUGGGUUUUAUGCAAUGAAAAUUCUUCUAGCGGAUUUUAUGUAGACCUAUUGAAUUCAGUGGGUAUCAACAUAAUCCGCUUGCAGAUUUCCCACAGCUGAUUAUGUAGAUGUAAACUUACCCUUAUAUUAGAUCAAUAUAUUAUCCGAAACUAACUAACCUUAAAGGGUUUAUUUAGUGAAAAGCCUUUUGUAAAUAUGACUAGGGUGCCUGCAUGAAAAAAAAAAAAAAUCAUUACUUACCCCCUGCUCUCCCCGAUGCCUUUGGUAUCACUGCUCCCAGCGUCCGAUGCAAUCCUUUUCCUGGUGCCAAGGGUCAAAACGUCAAAGUGUAGCUCAACAAGUAGCUGGCCUUUAUUGGUGACUGUUCUAAGCCCCGCUCUUCUUCCUGGUGCUGGGGCCCAGUACAUCACAUUGCUGCUCAGCCAAUAACUGGCUGCGGAUAGCGAUUCUCUGAGCUGCACUGUGGCACAUUGCUCCCUCAUCACACCGGAGGCUGGAAGCAGUGACACUGGAGGCACUGGGGAGCAAGGAAGGUAAGAAAGGUUUAGUUGUUAAUGCAGGAAGCCUGGGCAUAUAUAAAAAAAAAGAUUUUUGCCAGAUAACCCUGUUAAUGCUGAUUUAGUAAAGUUGGUAUACUUAUGCCUUGUUCACAUUGCCGUCGGACUCUGCUAUUCUGUAUUCCAUCUGCAAUCCGGCCAGAGGGAUGGGAGUCUAUUUUUUUUCUCUGCUAAAAUCCUGUAAAAUUACUGGGUCACUGACCCCAUGUAAGUGAAUGGCGUCCGUCAUGACCUGGUAGUAGCCGUUUGCAUCCGACCCGUUUCAGGGUCCGAUCAGCUAAAAAAAAAAUAAUAAUUAUCGAACCCUUAGCGGGUCAGAUGCAAACGUCUGUGUGAACCUAGCCUUACAUCAUAUUGGCCUGUGCUAACAACUUGUAGCGUAGUAGCUGGGGUUGUCUGGCCCCUUUAAGGCAAAAGGGUUGGCAGGCAUAAAAUUUAAGUAAUGCUCACAUGUCAUGAUCUCCUGACACAUCUAUCCAAACAGUGCUGAUCCCAGCUAAGCUGCUUUUGUUUAAAUAUGCAGCAUUAAUGACUGUGAAUUUCCAAAUCAGAAGCACAUUAAUAAUUCCCUGUGAGCAUGUGAAUGGGUAUAAAAUACACUGCGAGGCUUGGCCACACAUGGUCCUGGACACAUGAGACUGGCCGUACAGUAUGCUAUAUUUACCUUUUUGUUAAUGAUGCCCCAGAGAUGGUCCUGAAGUUGUGUAUCAUGAGGUCCUGCUCAUAUGAGGUUAUGACUGUGAUGGUGAUAUGAGGAAUAGACUUCCUUCUGCUCCUUUCUCUCACACAUCGCAUAGGAAUGGGGGGGAUCAAGAGACACCAGAUUCAUCUUUUUCUUUCUGUUUAAAAAAAAACUUCUAAAAAAAACUGCUUCAAAAAGCACCUCUGAUCUUCUUUUGAUGUGGAUUCUAAUGUGGCUUUUCAGACUGUUAUUUUAAGGUUCCCACUGAUUUCAAUGUGAGAUUCCCAGCAAAACCGUUCUGAAAAAGUAACAUGGCAGUUCUUUCUUCUGCACUGUUUUUAUAUAUAUAUAAAUAUUUUUUUUAUCAUUCCCCUUUGAAGUCAAUGGAAGCUGGAAGCAGCAUGUUUUGGGGCAUUUUGGAGGGGCUUUUUAAAGUGCAAACAUAUGGGUACGCUCACACUGCAGAAUUCCGCGCAGUGAACUGUACCAUCAGUGUGAAUGGGUCUUCCGCGAGACCCGUUCACAUUGCAAAAUUUCAGCACCGGACAAUUCUGCCGGUGAAAUUGUUCCACGCAAAGAAAGAACAUGUUCAUUCUUUGCGUGGAAUUCUGCGAGUACUGCAUAGCCGUCAAUGGUGACGGUGCAGUGCCCCGCGGUCCUAGGUUGAGGUAUUUUCGGCGGCAGCUGCCAGACAGAAUCCGCAGUGUGAACAUCAAAAGUGGUCUCCAAAAGGUAUGCUGACCUAUACCACAGUAUACCAAACCUGUGCCCAUUUAGUUCAAUGGAACAAAUGGAAUCUUCUUGGUCCAUUUUUGAAUAUAUACUGUUAUGUUGCAGGACUGCAAAGUGUAGAAUGCCAUCCUUUUAGGACAAAGACUUUGGCAUAUCACAAAGGCACAGUAACAUCAUAAAAUAUAACUUUGUAAGGGAUUGAGUAUGUGUAAUUGCAGUUCAUCAGAUAGAUUGAUAGUAAGAACAGAUUGCUAGAUGAUGAUGCUAUUCCUGGAUUCCUCUAAAUGCAGCCCUUCUGUUAAUAUCAUUAUUCUCAGCAUUAUUAGAUCUGAUGUGACACUUUUGUUUCCUUCCCGUAACUCUUUGAAAUGGAGUCCGGAGCAGCUGGCUGAGUGAGACGCUCGCUGGCAGAGAUCCACCAUCUGAACAUUGAUUACAUUGAAGCUUUAAUGCCAAUCUGAUGAAUUGCAAACAUUUGACUGCCAGAGGAAUCAGCAGCCAUAUUGAGAAGAGGAAGGCAUAGCUGUCUCCAUGGAGAACAUGGAGUUAAGUACGGUAGUUACCUGUGAGCAAAGCUUCAAAAAGAAUUGGGGCUAAGGUUCUAAACCUGCAGACUCUUUCAUGUCAUCUACAAUAACUAUGCUGUUUGAUGGGCGUUCUCACAGGUGGAAGCUGCACAGAGCCUCUGACACCUAAUUGGACAAUCUCAGCUUUAAAGGAAGCCAAAGCCUUUGCUGGACUUUGAAGAUGUGAUUGCAGAACCAUAUGGGACUUACAGUUUUGAUGGUGUUUGGAAAGCCAGUUAUACCACCUUUACCGUCACCAAGUACUGGUGUUACCGGCUUCUCUCCGCCCUCAU